GCCAUUUAGCUGCUCAAGGACGAGUUCUAUGAUUCAAGAGCUCCUCAUCAUCAUACAUAGCCAAUUGUAUUACCUUUACAAAAUCAUUCCACUCACCUCCCAGUCCUGAGGUCUGGGGGUGGCAGGACUGGAACCUAUGGCAAAUGAUGCUGUGAUUCCUCCAAGACACUGUGGACCGACCUGGUAUCCUAAAUAAGACAUUUGGAAAACUCCAUUCUACACCUGGCUCUCUUGCCACUAUUGCAGUAAAAUAGCACAAAGGAGGUGAGGCAAUUCUUUAAACACUUUCAGGCCUUAAUGUGAUGGGAGAUUUGAUUUUUCUCUUAGAAGAUGAUAGUGGGAUAUGUAGUAAGAAAGUUAUUAAAUUGGUAUGCUUCUAAAUCCCUCCCUCAGAGUAACUAACUCUGAAUCUUAUUUCCUCCUACAGAGAAAUAUGUAUGUUAGCUUUGUCUCAGCCUAUAUAAACUUGGUUAUUCUUGGUAGAGAUUCUUUGCCUACCCAGCGAGAUAAAUUCUGGCCCUUACUUUCUUUUUGAAGAGAAAGUUAUGAAUUCACUUUCUCUCUAAUCUUUGCAUGAGCUUUUCCUCCUAUUUAAAUAUCUGAUACUCUUAUCAGAAAUUUAUAGAUUUCUCAAAUAUUCUGUUUAGUAGACAUUUGACUAAUCAUGUUAACUUAAAUAUUAUCCUUUGGAAAGUCUUCACCAUCAGAAUUCAUUGUGUACUACUGUCACUUAUGGAGACCUUUUCUAAAAUUAUUUUUUGUUGUUGCUUAGGUAGAGACCAUAGGAUAGACCCAGAGAAUAUAUGUGUUCUAGGACAAUCUUAAUUACUGGGCUGUUAUUCUAUGGAACUGCUCUUCAAACAAGCUCUCUGUGUAUAAGUUCUAAGCAUGAAUCUUAGUCUAAUAAAUAGCAUUAAAACCCAGUAGUUUAUAAGUUGACCACACACUCGUAAUUACUUUGGCCACUAACAUUAUUGUACAAUGCAUUCUUUAAUACUUUUGAUAUCCUUGACUGCCAAUAGAGGGAAGGCUCUCUCCACUGGUGGAAAAUAGCAUACUACUGCAAUAGUGGUG
rnacentral:lncRNA from 1 species